rnacentral:siRNA from 1 species
UCUAGGGGCUCAUAAUAAUGUU